rnacentral:rRNA from 1 species
CGGGAAUAUUGGGCAAUGGGCGAGAGCCUGACCCAGCCAUGCCGCGUGCAGGAUGAAGGCUUUCUGAGUCGUAAACUGCUUUUGCCAGGGAAGAAAAAGAGGGAUGCGUCCUUCACUGACGGUACCUGGUGAAUAAGCACCGGCUAACUCCGUGCCAGCAGCCGCGGUAAUACGGAGGGUGCAAGCGUUGUCCGGAUUUAUUGGGUUUAAAGGGUGCGUAGGCGGCUGAUUAAGUCUGGGGUGAAAGCCCGUUGCUCAACAACGGAACUGCCCUGGAAACUGGUUAGCUUGAGUACAGACGAGGGUGGCGGAAUGGAUGCUGUAGCGGUGAAAUGCAUAGAUAGCAUCCAGAACCCCGAUUGCGAAGGCAGCUGCCUAGACUGUAACUGACGCUGAGGCACGAAAGCGUGGGGAGCGAAC